GAGUAGUAGUUUAAAUAAAACAUUAAGUUGCAAACUUAAAAUCGACCUUUAGGUCCUACUCA
rnacentral:tRNA from 1 species